rnacentral:rRNA from 1 species
UGGGGAAUAUUGCACAAUGGGCGCAAGCCUGAUGCAGCCAUGCCGCGUGUAUGAAGAAGGCCUUCGGGUUGUAAAGUACUUUCAGCGGGGAGGAAGGGAGUAAAGUUAAUACCUUUGCUCAUUGACGUUACCCGCAGAAGAAGCACCGGCUAACUCCGUGCCAGCAGCCGCGGUAAUACGGAGGGGGCAAGCGUUAAUCGGAAUUACUGGGCGUAAAGCGCACGCAGGCGGUUUGUUAAGUCAGAUGUGAAAUCCCGGGGCUCAACCUGGGAACUGCAUCUGAUACUGGCAAGCUUGAGUCUCGUAGAGGGGGGUAGAAUUCCAGGUGUAGCGGUGAAAUGCGUAGAGAUCUGGAGGAAUACCGGUGGCGAAGGCGGCCCCCUGGACGAAGACUGACGCUCAGGUGCGAAAGCGUGGGGAGCAAACA